rnacentral:tRNA from 1 species
GGCCCUAUAGCAUAGCGGCUAAUGCGCCUGACUGUCUCUCAGGUUAUCGUGGGUUCGAGUCCCACUAGGGUCGCCA